rnacentral:rRNA from 2 species
UGCGUAGGUGGCCUUCUAAGUUGGAUGUGAAAUCCCCGGGCUUAACUUGGGUGGUGCAUCUAAUACUGGAGGGCUAGAGUGCAGGAGAGGGAAGCGGAAUUCCUAGUGUAGCGGUGAAAUGCGUAGAUAUUAGGAGGAACACCAGUGGCGAAGGCGGCUUUCUGGACUGUAACUGACACUGAGGCACGAAAGCGUGGGGAGCAAACA